CUUGGUCAUUUAGAGGAAGUAAAAGUCGUAACAAGGUUUCCGUAGGUGAACCUGCGGAAGGAUCAUUAAUGAGUUGUGAUGGGGUUUGAUGCUGGCAGCCAAAAUUUGGAUGCAUGUGCUUGCCCUAACACAAUCAUCUUCCAAACACCUGUGCACAUUUUGAGGGAGUUCUGAGUUGAUUUGCCACUUUGUGGUGAUUUUCUUGUAUUCCCUUAAAUCAUUAUACGCUGUUAACAAAUGCUGAACGUGCUUUGUGCCGCAAGGCCUUUAAUAUAAUACAACUUUUAACAACGGAUCUCUUGGCUCUCGCAUCGAUGAAGGACGCAGCGAAAUGCGAUAAGUAAUGUGAAUUGCAGAAUUCAGUGAAUCAUCGAAUCUUUGAACGCACCUUGCGCUCCUUGGUAUUCCGAGGAGCAUGCCUGUUUGAGUGUCAUAUAAUUCUCAACCUUAUUAGCUUUUGCUGAUUAAUGGCUUGGAUGUGGGGGUUCUCUUUUGCCGGCUUCUUCAGAGGUCAGCUCCCCUUAAAUGCAUUAGCUGGUGCCCCGCGUGGACUGUCUAUUUGGUGUGAUAAUUAUCUACGCCGUGGAUGUCUGCAAUGGGUCGUGCACUGCUUAUAGCUGUCCGUUCAUUUGGACAAUACAUGACAAUUUGACCUCAAAUCAGGUAGGACUACCCGCUGAACUUAAGCAUAUCAAUAAGCGGAGGA
rnacentral:rRNA from 1 species